rnacentral:rRNA from 1 species
CUGCUGGCGCUGAAAGACCAAGGGUUCCUGCGCAACGUUAAUCGACGCAGGGUUAGUCGGUUCCUAAGGCGAGGCUGAAAAGCG